CGGGCUCAAACGUCGGCGUAAUGGAGGUGAAAGCCUCCAGCAAGCAAUUGACACCGACGAGGUGCUGCAUGGUUGUCGUCAGCUCGUGCCGUGAGGUGUCGGCUUAAGUGCCAUAACGAGCGCAACCCCUAUCGACAGUUGCCAUCAAGUUAAGUUGGGGACUCUGUCGAGACUGCCAGCGCAAGCUGCGAGGAAGGCGGGGAUGACGUCAAAUCAGCACGGCCCUUACGUCCGGGGCGACACACGUGUUACAAUGGCAGGUACAGCGGGAAGCCAUAUGGCGACAUAGAGCAGAACCCGAAAACCUGUCUCAGUUCGGAUUGGAGUCUGCAACCCGACUCCAUGAAGCUGGAUUCGCUAGUAAUCGCGCAUCAGCCACGGCGCGGUGAAUACGUUCCCGGGCC
rnacentral:rRNA from 1 species